UAAGAGGUCCCGCCUGCCCAGAGAAUCCUUUAUCAACGGCCGCGGUAUUUUGACCGUGCAAAGGUAGCGUAAUCAUUUGUCUUUUAAAUGAAGACCUGUAUGAAUGGCUCGACGAGGGCUAAGCUGUCUCCUUUUUCAGGUCAAUGAAAUUGAUCUCCCCGUGCAAAAGCAGGGAUAUAUACAUAAGACGAGAAGACCCUAUGGAGCUUUAGAUGCCACGGCAAGCGUUACCUGCUACUUCCAAACAAAGGAACACCCACUAGCUUCUGCCUCAGCAUCUUCGGUUGGGGUGACCAUGGGGAACAAAAAACCCCCACGAUGCACUGAGAUGUCUAUAAGACCCUGACACAUCCUCUCAAACAAGAGCCGCAGCUCUAAUUAACAGAAUUUCUGACUACCGAUCCGGCAACGCCGAUUAACGAACCAAGUUACCCUAGGGAUAACAGCGCAAUCCCCUUCAAGAGCCCAUAUCGACAAGGGGGCUUACGACCUCGAUGUUGGAUCAGGACAUCCUAAUGGUGUAACCGCUAUUAAGGGUUCGUUUGUUCAACG
rnacentral:rRNA from 1 species